AGCGCCUGUGGCGGGCAAGGCACGGAACAAUAAAGAGUUUCGCAGGCAACGGUUCCGUGUACGGUCUCGUACAUCCAAGGAUUGCCUUGGAUUUAACAUUUUCU
rnacentral:sRNA from 1 species